CUACGGGGGGCAGCAGGGAAGAAUAUUGUACAAUGGGGGCAACCCUGAUACAGCAACGCCGCGUGAAGGAAGAAGGCCUUCGGGUUGUAAACUUCUGUGACAGAGGACGAAGAAGAUGACGGUACUCUGAGAGGAAGCUCCGGCAAACUACGUGCCAGCAGCCGCGGGAAUACGUAGGGGGCGAGCGUUGUCCGGAAUCACUGGGCGUAAAGGGCGCGUAGGCGGCCGAAUAAGUUGAAUGUGAAAUCCCAGGGCUCAACCCUGGACGUGCAUUCAAAACUGUUUGGCUUGAGUAUGGUAGAGGAAAGUGGAAUUCCUAGUGUAGCGGUGGAAUGCGUAGAUAUUAGGAGGAACACCAGUGGCGAAGGCGACUUUCUGGGCCAAAACUGACGCUGAGGCGCGAAAGCGUGGGGAGCAAACAGGAUUAGAUACCCGUGUAGUC
rnacentral:rRNA from 1 species